UGGGGAAUAUUGCACAAUGGAGGAAACUCUGAUGCAGCGACGCCGCGUGAGUGAAGAAGUAGUUCGCUAUGUAAAGCUCUAUCAGCAGGGAAGAUAGUGACGGUACCUGACUAAGAAGCUCCGGCUAAAUACGUGCCAGCAGCCGCGGUAAUACGUAUGGAGCAAGCGUUAUCCGGAUUUACUGGGUGUAAAGGGAGUGUAGGUGGCCAGGCAAGUCAGAAGUGAAAGCCCGGGGCUCAACCCCGGGACUGCUUUUGAAACUGCAGGGCUAGAGUGCAGGAGGGGCAAGUGGAAUUCCUAGUGUAGCGGUGAAAUGCGUAGAUAUUAGGAGGAACACCAGUGGCGAAGGCGGCUUGCUGGACUGUAACUGACACUGAGGCUCGAAAGCGUGGGGAGCAAA
rnacentral:rRNA from 1 species